GAUGAACGCUGGCGGCGUGCCUAAUACAUGCAAGUCGAGCGAACGGACGAGAAGCUUGCUUCUCUGAUGUUAGCGGCGGACGGGUGAGUAACACGUGGAUAACCUACCUAUAAGACUGGGAUAACUUCGGGAAACCGGAGCUAAUACCGGAUGAUAUUUUGAACCGCAUGGUUCAAAAGUGAAAGACGGUCUUGCUGUCACUUAUAGAUGGAUCCGCGCUGCAUUAGCUAGUUGGUAAGGUAACGGCUUACCAAGGCAACGAUGCAUAGCCGACCUGAGAGGGUGAUCGGCCACACUGGAACUGAGACACGGUCCAGACUCCUACGGGAGGCAGCAGUAGGGAAUCUUGCGCAAUGGGCGAAAGCCUGACGGAGCAACGCCGCGUGAGUGAUGAAGGUCUUCGGAUCGUAAAACUCUGUUAUUAGGGAAGAACAUAUGUGUAAGUAACUGUGCACAUCUUGACGGUACCUAAUCAGAAAGCCACGGCUAACUACGUG
rnacentral:rRNA from 1 species